ensembl:lncRNA
GAUAGAGUUCUGUCAUGUAACGAUUUUAUACUUGUGCACAGCUCUGCAUUUGCAGGUCUCAGCUGCAGUCUGCCAGAGACAGAAAUGCCAGCAUGAAAAAAUUAAAAACAAUUUUCCUAAUGUUUCUGAACUGCUUGGAAUUUAGAAGAACUGUAAAUCUUACAAGACUGGGUGGUCUCAGGAGGUAUGGGCAAUUCAGCUCUGGAGGCUCUGCAGUCCUGUAGCAUUGACAACGUGGAACUGAACCCUUGGUGCUUCAAUUACGGGCUACCUUCUCCUAGAUAUGUCCUGCCCCUAUGUGUUCUGAAAUUUGAAGGUAUUCACUAAAAUACAAAGUUCUCUCGGAAGUAAGCUGAAGAGAUUAGAAAAUACAUGCAUAUAUGCUGGGAUGAGCUCUGUUUGUCACUUUUGUCUUCACUGUAUAACCAGAGUUUCAAAAAAGCUAUUCAGUUUUGUGGGAUGGGAUGCUUGUUCUGUCUCUGAAACAGCUCAUUUUAACCUGGGAAGACAGAAUGAUUUUUAUGAACUCCCUAAAAACUGUCAUAUUAAACUCCCCAGAAUUCGAGGCAUCAGGAGACCAACACCGAUUGAGAGACUGGGGCUACAGGUUUGCACCUUUGUGCUUACCAGAUAUGGAGCUUCUGCCAUGGAAGGAGAGAAAGAAUUGGUUAAGAACAGGAAGAUCAGAGACUAGGAUAUUCCUGAGGAACAAAUGGGACCAUUGGAUAAAUAAAGAGCAG